AAAAAAAUUGCUCCGCAGGGCGCAGCUUGAUACGACCGCAGAGGUCGAACCCUGAACAGUUGGGGCAAGUAUGGACACAACAUUCAAGCUUGAUACAGCUCUGAAUUUGGAUUGUGAUUAAAUAUUUGACACAGCAUAGGUUUCUGACACAGAAAGAAUGUGGUCUAAGAACUUGAAUUUUUUUAAUUUACCUAUUAUGGUCCAAUGUCAAAAAUCAAAAUACAUGGUUAGAUUCAGCAUAUCAAAGAACCCCAUAUUUUCAAUUUUUGUUGAAAUCAAACAAAGUUUAAUUUUGGACCCCAACUUGGACAAACUUGAAAACUGGGCCCAUAAUCAAAAAUCUAAACACAUGUUUAGAUUCAGCAUAUCAAAAAACCCCAAUAAUUCAAUUUUUGCUAAAAUCAAACUAAGUUUAAUUUUGGACCCUUUGGACCUUAAUGAAGACCAAUUUAAAAAACGGGACUUAAAAUUAAAAA